rnacentral:rRNA from 1 species
GACGAACGCUGGCGGCGUGCUUAACACAUGCAAGUCGAACGAUGAUCUCCCGCUUGCGGGGGUGAUUAGUGGCGAACGGGUGAGUAAUACGUGAGUAACCUGCCCUUGACUCUGGGAUAAGCCUGGGAAACCGGGUCUAAUACUGGAUACUACUUCCUGCCGCAUGGUGGGGGGUGGAAAGGGUUUUACUGGUUUUGGAUGGGCUCACGGCCUAUCAGCUUGUUGGUGGAGUAAUGGCUCACCAAGGCGACGACGGGUAGCCGGCCUGAGAGGGUGACCGGCCACACUGGGACUGGGACACGGCCCAGACUCCUACGGGAGGCAGCAGGGGGGAAUAUUGCACAAUGGGCGGAAGCCUGAUGCAGCGACGCCGCGUGAGGGAUGACGGCCUUCGGGGUGUAAACCUCUUUCAGCAGGGAAGAAGCCACAAGUGACAGUACCUGCAGAAGAAGCGCCGGCUAACUACGUG